GUCAAGAACUGUCACAUCUGGAUGUGUUAGCCUAUAUUCACAUAGAAAGCUUCCCAAUGAACCAACCUCAAGAAUACGCCGCCACUUGCUUCCUGACAACUUAUGGAGCACAAUGUCAAAAGGACCUUGAUCUGAAAGGGGUUUGCUCUGAUCAAUAGCAACAAAUAAUAUCCCCUUACUCCUAGCUAGACCUUCAAGCUUAGGC
rnacentral:misc_RNA from 1 species